rnacentral:tRNA from 1 species
UGUUCUGUGACUUAGUUGGAUAAAGCGCCGGUCUAGCGAAUACGGAGUCGGGGGUUCGAAUCCCACCAGAAUGC